UAUAGGAAAAUUAAAAGUGAAAUUUGCACCAAAUAACUAAUGAUUUUCACACUAUAAUCAAAGGCUUGAAAAAAAACAACAAACACCAGCUGCUGUAGGUUUCUAAAAACUACAACAUUCAACAAUGAACCAAUUCACCGAUUCAAAUACUAAAAUUUGCACCGAAAUUAGUAUUCUAUUUCAACAGCCCAAGAUUGAAUCAAUUAUGCAGCGAACCAGCACUCAGAUGCAAAUACACUAAUUACAAACAAGAUUAGAUGUGCACAAAUCCCUUUCCUUCGUCACAAGCAUUGAAAACAACACCACCGUACUCGCUUCCACCACCUCUCCAACCUUCAACCUCACCAUUAAAACACGCAACGCAACAAGAAAAAUCUAUUUGGUUUCAAAACAAAAAAAAAAUGUGAAAACACAAAAUUUGUUUUAUAUAUAAUCUUCAGUUACAAUAUAAAUGCAUAAAUCGUAUCAAAAGGCAUAAAUCACAUACUAACCUAGACAAUCACAAAGACAGAGUUGAAGGCAAUGCAAAGCAACACCGUCGAAGAUCGUUGUGUCGUGCGCCUAGUUGUUCAUUCUCAUUCUCUUUCUAGUAACAUUUUUUUUAAGAAGAAUGAAGAAAAGUGGAAAAAUGAAGAAUGAG
rnacentral:lncRNA from 1 species